ACUGCUGAAAACCACUUUAAUCCACAUUAAAUAGCGUGCCGAGACACGCCAUAGCAAAGGACAACAGCCACAAACACCGCUAAACAGCUUGUCCAAACAUCCACCAAAAACACUGUACUAUGGUCUGUGCUCAAACCCUUCUACACACUGUGGUAACCCCAAACACACGUGUUGGUCGAGUCUUUAACCAAAGCUCUCUCUGUUUCCAGGAAGCACUAUAAGGAGUACCUGGUGAGUCUGAUAAACGCUCACUCUCUGGACCCCGCUCCGCUCUACGAGGCCAACGAGGUGACUCGGGCCUGUGAGAGAUACCAGGUGGACACGCAAAGAGGGGAGAACGAGGAUGAUAACGUUUACCACGCUCGACUGCUCAAGAAACUGAUGGAGGUCCCUCUUGGAGAAAAAGUUCCUCGAAACAAAUAAAACUUUCCCCAAACAGAAGAUCACCGACCUGCAGAAAUCAUCCUUAAAUCUUUUCUUCAAGCACUUACACAGCAAGAGUCGUGAUUUUGAAAUAUUUCGUGCCUUAUUUGGCUGUUUACAAGCUGUUUUCAAUCAUCUGCAGAGUAAUUUUUGUCUCCAUACUGUUGAUUCAAAAAAAUAUAUAUUUUUAUGCCAAAAUAAAACAAGAAACAUUAAAUUGUUGGCAGGCAGCUGUGUCUGAUUUGUGUCCUUGUACCUGCACAAAAAAGUCUGUUUUGUAGCUCUAACAUCUGAAUAUUAAACUUUCUUUCACUGUUAAAUAUUAUGAUGAACUGAUUAUGAAGAAAUGAAGCUGUUUCUUUUCUUAUCUCUGUUUCGCUUUGACAGGUUUUCUUCGUCUUCAUGUCACAAUGACAUUUAUAUACUUGGAAAAGAAACGUAUUAAAUGUAAGGAGUUGGGUGUUGUAUGAAUAUGAAAGUUGAUUUAUUGUUUGCACAAGAAGAAAGUCUGGUUUUGGGAAUGUGUGUUAAAAUGUCUAUUUAAGAGCAAUGUAGCAAUAUCAGGCAAAAUGAUACGAAUAAAGACAAAUCUCUACCUAACGGGGGAAAAUUUUUAUUUUCCAAAGA